rnacentral:misc_RNA from 1 species
AAGGAUCAUUAAUGAGUAAAAGAGGGUAAUCUUGGUAUGAAAGUACUGAGUUACUCUCGAACUCUCUUCACCCUUUGUUAUUUUUUUCCUAGUUGCUUUGGCAGGGCAUGCUGCUCUGCCAGAGGACACACCAAACUAUUUUGUAAACCAAUAAUUGGGAUACUUGUAGUCUGAUUUAGUUACUUUAAUAGUAUACAAAACUUUCAACAAUGGAUCUCUUGGUUCUG